rfam:Melipona quadrifasciata isolate 0111107301 unplaced genomic scaffold scaffold32, whole genome shotgun sequence.
CAAUCGGCCCUUUUUAGGGCCAUAAUUUUCUUCAAUGUAGAAACUU